AUAAUGACUGGCGGCAACGUUUACCAUGCAAGUCCAACGGCAGCACGGAAGAGCUUGCUCUUUUGGUGGCGAGUGGCGAAUGGGUGAGAUACAUAUCGGAACGUACCGAGUAGUGGGGGAUAACCAAUCGAAAGAUUGGCUAAUACCGCAUAUUCUCUGAGGAGGAAAGCUGGGGACCAUCUGGCCUGGCGCUAUUUGAGCGGCCGAUAUCUGAUUAGCUUGUUGGUGGGGUAAAGGCCUACCAAGGCGACGAUCAGUAGCGGGUCUGAGAGGAUGAUCCGCCACACUGGGACUGAGACACGGCCCAGACUCCUACGGGAGGCAGCAGUGGGGAAUUUUGGACAAUGGGGGGAACCCUGAUCCAGCCAUGCCGCGUGUAUGAAGAAGGCCUUCGGGUUGUAAAGCACUUUAAGUGGGGAGGAAAAGCAACUGGUUAAUACCCAGUUGCCCUGACGUUACCCACAGAAUAAGCACCGGCUAAACUCUGUGCCAGCAGCCGCGGUAAU
rnacentral:rRNA from 1 species